UCUUCUAUAGAAUUCCCUUCUUCUCCGAAUAAAUCAACAAAACUCAACACUCAAAAUUGAAUUCAAAGAUUCAAUCAGUAGCCAGAGAAAGAAAAUAGAAAGGAGAAUUACCGAUUGGAUGGUGAAACGGUGAACUUGGGAAUCUUGGUGGUUUCUUCUCUAUUUCUCCUCGACUCAACUCGCGACGUUGUUGUCGAUUCGUCUCGACUGCUAGUGCUCUAUUGUGUGUUGUUGGUGCGGCGUGAUUUGAACUCACGCUAGAUGAGAGGGUCGCGAUCUGAACUCGCGCGGUCGCCGUUCGUCGAUAAGGUGGAGGGCUUCGCGGUGGGACUUGGUUAUGACAGCUACUUGUGAGCGAUGCCAGAGGUCGAUCAGAGGGGUGAGUUCUUCUUCAAACGAUACCCUCCAUCUCUCCUUCUUCAUAUAUUUCUUCUCCUUAAUUCAGUCCCUAUUCUUUUCAUCUAAAAAAACAGAAUCCAUCUCCACAUAACAAAAAGAAAUUAUAGGCACACAACAACAUUAUUUCAAGGUAUGAAUCGAUUUCAAGCAAGAGCACGUACCCAUUAGAUUCGAUAGCAGCGGAGGUGGUUGUGAGGUGGUGUUGUGAUAACGCUGAUCGGAGGUGAAUCGGAAGUUGAGUCGGUGUUUAGGCGAUGUGCGAUUCGAAGAGGUUCUCCGAACCGUUAUUGUUGUUGAUGCGUUGCUCGCUUGAACAAAAUGCUUGUUGCUUGUGCUAUCGAGUUGUGCGGAUGAGAGAUGACCGAUUCGUAUUUGGAAGUAACAAUCCUUCAUCCUUUUAUUUGUACUCCUUCAAUACCUGGGAACCAAACAAGACACCAACAAUAUGGAGACAUGGACCAGGUUGGAGAGAAAGCUGUGAUUGUCGUUGUUUCACGGAUGGAGCUGCUUUUCCCGAUUUAACGGUGUGGCGAUGCAACGUUUGAAAUUGCAGUAGCAAAGUAACAAAAAAAACAUAUAGAAGCAAAAGGUUGUUUACAGUGUAAGGGUUAAAAAAAAGGUUGUACGUCAACUAGUGGAUGAAAAUAUAUGAUAUGAAAUAUGUGCAAGACCAA